ensembl:lncRNA
CUCACAUGGGUGCAGCAGGAACUUUCACUUCACCACGAGAACAUAACUCAUCUAAACACACUUUCCCAGUCUUGGCGCAUGUUUAGUGCACAUGUACACCCUGAUUUCCACCGUGGAUGACAGUGUUUGUCACCUUUUUUGUUGUCAAAAUCCGUAUUUUGCCACCCUAGAUGAUUUAAGAUCAAGCCGCCUACAGAAAGAAGCUGAUCACUCAUCCCAGGAGAGUUUGAUGGCCUUCUGCUGGGUGACAGGGGUUACCAUGCCAACCCAGGCUGAUGACCUCAUACCCUGACCCUGAACCAGGCUCACUGCAGGAUGAGAGCCUGGGUGGAGAUGACCAUAGACCUGCUGAAAGCCCAUCUCCAGUACCUACAUCACCUCAGGGUGACUCCUGGGAGGACCUGUGAUAAUAUUCAUAAUACUGCCACUGUAGCUGACACUGUUUAAGAGUCUUUAGGUUGCCAUGGCAAUACAGGAAGGUGGUCAUUUACACCCAAGUAAAUUUUAUUUUGGAAAGCAGUAUUAAAAUAUUUGUCCUGUGGUACCUUUGAUCAUUUUGGUCUGGUAAAAUGCAUUACUUUUAGUCUAGUUUUUCGUUUGGUUUAUGGUCCUGGUUGAUAAAGUUGUAGCAGUUGUCAUGUGACUUACGCCACAGAUGUGAGAUGCAGCAUGGGAUAGAUACAGAUCAGGCAGGUUCUUCAGCCAGUUUUACAGUCCGUCUGCCUUUAAUUUCUGUUGGUCAUCCAGGCAAACGGUAAUUAUUAAUACAUUUCAGAGAACUGUAUAUUUGUUUAGACAGAGACAAAGGUAUUUGUUUCUUUUUCAUUUCAUGACUUGAAUAUGAGAUUAUCUUUGUAGUUUUCACAGUGUACCACCAAAUGAUAUGUUUGAGAAGAAUAAACCUUUUGUGGACAUCAGUACAAAGUAUGGACUCUUUCACUGACCAGCAGUUACAGCCACUAUUAGAGGAGAGCAACACUCUGCCCUACAAACUGAAGACCCAGAUGAUGACCUCAUCCACCUGCCAGCUAUCCAAGAUAACAGAGCAGUCAGAGACACCAUAUGCAAUAAUCACUGCAGAGUUUAAGUCUCCAUCAUCACCACCACAGCAGUCAAAUAAACACAUGAUAC